CCUACGGGAGGCAGCAGUGGGGAAUAUUGGACAAUGGGCGAAAGCCUGAUCCAGCAACGCCGCGUGAGGGAUGACGGCCUUCGGGUUGUAAACCUCUUUCAGUACCGACGAAGCGCCAAUAACGGUGGUGACGGUAGGUACAGAAGAAGGACCGGCCAACUACGUGCCAGCAGCCGCGGUAAUACGUAGGGUCCGAGCGUUGUCCGGAAUUAUUGGGCGUAAAGGGCUCGUAGGCGGUCUGUUGCGUCGGGAGUGAAAACUUACAGCUUAACUGUGAGCGUGCUUCCGAUACGGGCAGACUUGAGGUAUUCAGGGGAGAACGGAAUUCCUGGUGUAGCGGUGAAAUGCGCAGAUAUCAAGAGGAACACCGGUGGCGAAGGCGGUUCUCUGGGAAUAUCCUGACGCUGAGGAGCGAAAGUGUGGGGAGCGAACAGGAUUAGAUACCCUGGUAGUCCACACCGUAAACGUUGGGCGCUAGGUGUGGGAUCCAUUCCACGGGUUCCGUGCCGCAGCUAACGCAUUAAGCGCCCCGCCUGGGGAGUACGGCCGCAAGGCUAAAACUCAAAGGAAUUGACGGGGGCCCGCACAAGCGGCGGAGCAUGCGGAUUAAUUCGAUGCAACGCGAAGAACCUUACCUGGGUUUGACAUAUGCCGGAAAAGCUCUAGAAUAGAGCCCCCUUUUGUCGGUAUACAGGUGCUGCAUGGGCUGUCUUCAGC
rnacentral:rRNA from 1 species